rnacentral:rRNA from 1 species
UACGUAGGGUGCAAGCGUUAAUCGGAAUUACUGGGCGUAAAGCGUGCGCAGGCGGUUGUGCAAGACAGAUGUGAAAUCCCCGGGCUCAACCUGGGAAUUGCAUUUGUGACUGCACGGCUAGAGUGUGUCAGAGGGGGGUAGAAUUCCACGUGUAGCAGUGAAAUGCGUAGAGAUGUGGAGGAAUACCGAUGGCGAAGGCAGCCCCCUGGGAUAACGACUGACGCUCAUGCACGAAAGCGUGGGGAGCAAACAGG